GUUUUUCUAGGACCAUGUGAAGUGGUAAACAUGGGGCAUGGAAAUAGAGUUCACCAUGGGCAUGGGUUUCUUGAAGCUACAAGCCUCUGGAGUGGCAGGACCAAUCGAGUUUCAAACCAUCUGACUAUGAACAGCUGGUUCUGAAAAAGCAGAAUCUUUUCUUUAGGAGAGGAGGAGCUGAUGUGGAACUGCAUCUCACAGGUUUUGCCAUCACCAGGGAUGUGGGAGACCUGAGAACAAACCCUGUUAGAAAUGACUGAGAUGCUUUUCCAGCCUCUUCCAUAGCAGGUUACCUGCUUUAUUCAGCAGCAGAUACAGAUCAUCUUAAUUUUUGUGCAGAUUUCUUUAUAGAAGCUUUUAUUCUCUUUCAUGCCCCUCAUUAGUUUUAACUUGAGCUUCCAUUUGACUGGCUGUGUUCUGUUUGUUGUGUCAUGCCUGGGUGAUGCUUCUGUGCUCCUCCCAAGGAGCCUGUUCC